AACGGCCAUGCCAUGCCGAAUAUACCGGUUCUCGUUAGAUCCCCGAAGUCAAAGCAUCAUUGGGCGCUGCCAGUACUUGGGUGGGUGACCACCUGGGAGCACCGCGUGCCGUU
rnacentral:rRNA from 1 species